AUGAUUAAAGAAUAAGAUUGUUCUUUUACCAAGCAAAUGCAGACUAAAUCGUUUCUUAUAAUAAGAAGAAAUCUUGCUCGGUAUCAAUCCCCUUGCCCCUCAUUCUUUGAGAAUCGGAAUGAUCCUUUUCGAGUUUUCAUUGCUUCAUUUGGAAUCUGGUCUCUUCUAUCUCUGACUUAA
rnacentral:rRNA from 1 species